rnacentral:rRNA from 1 species
GACGAACGCUGGCUGCGUGCUUAACACAUGCAAGUCGAACGGUAAGGCUCCAGCUUGCUGGGGUACACGAGUGGCGAACGGGUGAGUAACACGUGGGUGACCUGCCCUGCACUUCGGGAUAAGCCUGGGAAACUGGGUCUAAUACCGGAUAGGACCGCACCGUGAGGGUGUGGUGGAAAGUUUUUUCGGUGUGGGAUGGGCCCGCGGCCUAUCAGCUUGUUGGUGGGGUAAUGGCCUACCAAGGCGGCGACGGGUAGCCGGCCUGAGAGGGUGGACGGCCACAUUGGGACUGAGACACGGCCCAGACUCCUACGGGAGGCAGCAGUGGGGAAUAUUGCACAAUGGGCGGAAGCCUGAUGCAGCGACGCCGCGUGGGGGAUGACGGCCUUCGGGUUGUAAACUCCUUUCACCAUCGACGAAGGGUUUCUGACGGUAGAUGGAGAAGAAGCACCGGCUAACUACGUGCCAGCAGCCGCGGUAAUACGUAGGGUGCGAGCGUUGUCCGGAAUUACUGGGCGUAAAGAGCUCGUAGGUGGUUUGUCGCGUCGUCUGUGAAAUUCCGGGGCUUAACUCCGGGCGUGCAGGCGAUACGGGCAUAACUUGAGUACUGUAGGGGAGACUGGAAUUCCUGGUGUAGCGGUGAAAUGCGCAGAUAUCAGGAGGAACACCGGUGGCGAAGGCGGGUCUCUGGGCAGUAACUGACGCUGAGGAGCGAAAGCAUGGGGAGCGAACAGGAUUAGAUACCCUGGUAGUCCAUGCCGUAAACGGUGGGCGCUAGGUGUGGGUUUCCUUCCACGGGAUCCGUGCCGUAGCUAACGCAUUAAGCGCCCCGCCUGGGGAGUACGGCCGCAAGGCUAAAACUCAAAGGAAUUGACGGGGGCCCGCACAAGCGGCGGAGCAUGUGGAUUAAUUCGAUGCAACGCGAAGAACCUUACCUGGGCUUGACAUAUACAGGAUCGCGCCAGAGAUGGUGUUUCCCUUGUGGCUUGUAUACAGGUGGUGCAUGGUUGUCGUCAGCUCGUGUCGUGAGAUGUUGGGUUAAGUCCCGCAACGAGCGCAACCCUUGUCUUAUGUUGCCAGCACGUUGUGGUGGGGACUCGUAAGAAACUGCCGGGGUUAACUCGGAGGAAGGUGGGGAUGACGUCAAAUCAUCAUGCCCCUUAUGUCCAGGGCUUCACACAUGCUACAAUGGUCGGUACAGUGGGUUGCCAGUCCGUGAGGGCGAGCUAAUCCCGCAAAGCCGGUCUCAGUUCGGAUCGGGGUCUGCAACUCGACCCCGUGAAGUCGGAGUCGCUAGUAAUCGCAGAUCAGCAACGCUGCGGUGAAUACGUUCCCGGGCCU